rnacentral:rRNA from 1 species
AGAUUGAACGCUGGCGGCAGGCCUAACACAUGCAAGUCGAGCGGCAGCACGGGUACUUGUACCUGGUGGCGAGCGGCGGACGGGUGAGUAAUGCCUAGGAAUCUGCCUGAUAGUGGGGGAUAACGCUCGGAAACGGACGCUAAUACCGCAUACGUCCUACGGGAGAAAGCAGGGGACCUUCGGGCCUUGCGCUAUCAGAUGAGCCUAGGUCGGAUUAGCUAGUUGGUGGGGUAAUGGCUCACCAAGGCGACGACUCCGUAACUGGUCUGAGAGGAUGAUCAGUCACACUGGAACUGAGACACGGUCCAG